rnacentral:lncRNA from 1 species
GCAGAAAACAGUGAGCUAGAAAGUAGCCGAGGGACUGGAAGACAGCGGAGGUCUGCGCUGGAUUUAGCGGUGUUCGGUGAUGGGAUUCAAAUGUAGAUGCGUGCGAAUCGUCUGUGCUAAAUCCGGGCGCUCAGACGCGAAGGGACCCAGGGACCCAGGAACCGAAAGGCCUCCCGUGGCCCCGAUUUUGUAAAUGAGGACUGUGAACUCUAUAGUCAGGUGACCUCCAGAAGCUUAGCUCGCGACUCAGUGGCCCUGUGAAUCGUGUCUGCCCGCACGUGUAGCCACACAGCCUGCGGGAAGGUGGCCAGUUCUUCACCCAGCGCGCCACUGGGCAGCAGAAGGAGGCGGACAGCCUACUCCUGCCCCUCGGCCGGACGACCCGCGGCUGCCGCGCCCAGCACCUCUGCACCUGCCUGGCUGAGGUGAGAUGCCCCGGAGCGCAGGCCUGAGCCGAGCUGUCCCGGCCGCCAGGGGUCGAUGACCUGGAGUGAUGGGCAGCAGAUGGGAGUGUGAGGCGGGGAAUCACCCCGAAACAGCAAGCCCAGCUGAAGCGAGGCAAAGCAGAGGGGCUGCGGUACCUCUCCAGAGGGCCCUGCUCUGGCUCCCCAGGCCCGAGUUCCUCAUGGUGGAUUCAGCCGAGGCCGAAGGUUCGCUUCCUGAGAAGCCUGCGGGACGCGGGCUGCCUCACAGCGCAGGCUGCAGGCUAAGGACCGGCUGCUGCCGCGCUGCUCCGCGCGCAGGGAAAGUGGAGCUGGGCCUGGAUGGGAGGAAGGAUUUCCUCGCCUCUUGGGCGCGGCCGCUCCGGCAGGGCCACACAAGUCCCCCUUUGUGGAGGGCCCUGCUCCUGCGCACACCGAAGUCAGCGAACAAUAGCGCAAUGUUGCCGCCGUUGGCCCCGCUCUCCCGGCCACACCGCGGCGGCAGAAGGCGAGGAAACCGGGUGGCGCUUUUUUAUAGCCACAAAUAUAAAAUCGGGGCUUCCCCCCCUUUCACUCGCCUCUUGCCCCAACGCCGAUAGAAAGCAGAUAAAUUUAUGAAGGGCGAGCUAAGAGAAUAAUUACAGGGUGACGGCCGUUAAAUUUUAUUUCCAGUCCCAAAGGCAAAACCUGUGAUUUUAUUGCAAACAUCUGGAAAGACCGAGAGGUGGGCAUGCUGCUGGUUUAAAAUAAAAAUAGAAGAUUUUUAUUUCUCGAAAACAAAAACCAUCAUGAAAGACCUUUUGCCCCCACGGUCUUUUAUUUUUAAAAAGUGUGAGGGGGGUGGUAGAAUAGACAAGGAUGCACGCGGCCCGAAAGCCCACUGGGACCCUCGAGAGGCGCUCUGCUGCACCUCGGGCCGGCCGCUUGGUCUCCUGAACCGACUUUAGGCGGGCGUCUCCAGAAAUCUGCUCCUUCCCCUACGCCGCCUCGGACCACUCACGCAGCCCCUUGCGUGCUCUCCUGUUGCUUUGGGAUGCCAGUUUGGGAAAAGAAGUGAAAAGUGGGAAUGCGGGCUUCAUAUUCCCGAAAGAUUCCA